ACUCCAAUAACUCAGUGGUUAGAGUUCCAAGCUUAUACCUUGGCGGUCGUAGGUUCAAAUCCUACUUGGAGUA
rnacentral:tRNA from 1 species